rnacentral:rRNA from 1 species
UACGUAGGCAGCAAGCGUUGUUCGGAAUUACUGGGCGUAAAGGGUGCGUAGGCGGCUUUUUAAGUUUGGUGUGAAAUCUCCCGGCUCAACUGGGAGGGUGCGCCGAAUACUGAGAAGCUAGAGUGUGGGAGAGGAAAGUGGAAUUCCUGGUGUAGCGGUGAAAUGCGUAGAUAUCAGGAGGAACACCUGCGGUGUAGACGGCUGGCUGGACCACUACUGACGCUGAGGCACGAAAGCGUGGGGAGCAAACAGG